GUGACCUGGCGGAAGGAUCAUUG
rnacentral:rRNA from 1 species